rnacentral:tRNA from 2 species
GCCCUGUUAGCUCAAUGGAGGAGCGUCCGUCUGUCGAACGGAAGGCCGCCGGUUCGAUCCCGGUACGGGGCG